rnacentral:lncRNA from 1 species
AUUGUGUUCUGUUCGUUAUAUUCUUAGAGCUGAAGAUGGUGUGAAUACUGAAAGCUUCUAAACUUAAUAAAGAAAGGUGUUUUAUGUAAUCUCUUUGGUCUGCUCGUGAGUGUUGAAUAUAUAAUACACUUUUAGAUAAUCGAUACUGAUGAGGCCAUAAUGGAUGUAGUUAAGAACCUAGUUCAAGCAGUAACCAAAAUCUUUGUGGACAGAAUUUUCUGCCUACCUGAACAGUGGGAUGCUUGCCUAAAUGCCAUGGGUGACUUCUUGGGUGACAUUGUAUGCAGUAAUUUCAUUAAAGGAUGGUGUUCAAUGAGUUUGGCCAGAACUAGAGUGCAAAAAUUAGUUAUAAAUUACUUUUUUAUAGCAAUACUAACACUUCACUAAUAAGAGUCACUAAUAACUAACACUUUUUUAUAGCUCUAAUAAGAGUAAAUUAUUAUUAUGUUUUGGGAAGGGUUACCCUAUAGUUUGUAUUUGUAGUAGUAUUAAUAAAUAAAUAAAUAAAUAUAGAUACUAAUAAUAUCAAAUAACAUUUAUGGCCUCCUAUAGC